AAAAUUGGUUAUUACUACCAUGAAAUUUCUGUGAUGCUAUUAACUGUUUUUGCUCUUUUUUAGAAAAUUUAGAAAAAUAAAUUGAAAUUUCGUGCCACUACUGACAUGUCACAUGUUAUUGUAUGUAAAGAUUAAAUUUUUGUUAUGAGAACUACAGUUCUUAUGAAAGAAAAAGAUUCACUAAAAGCCUACUACUACUACUACUACUACUACUACUACUACUACUACUACUACUACUACUACUACUACUACUACUACUACUACUACUCUGGUAAAUCACAUCAGCUUUAUCAGAAUUUAGAAAAAUGAAUUAAACUACAACUUUUGAACAGUCAUUGUUUGUGAAGGUUAAAUUAUUUGCAUG